GUGCCUAUAUGCCUUUUACUAUAUGUCUCUAAUAUAGACAUUUAGAUUGUCCUCUAGCCUUUACCUUUACUCUUAUUGGUUUAUUCUAUAUAUUAUUUCCUUUAGGUUUAUUAAAGGUAGGGCUUCCUUUUUUAACACGUUAUUCUCUGAUUGGACUUUUAGUCCGCUUACUCUCAAGUAUGCAUCUAGUUUCUGUUCAAACAUCUGAUCGGACUCUGAUAAAACCACACUUCAAGCAGAGAAUUCCACAUCCCUAUUGUUCUUACGGUAAAAAAAACCUUUCCUUUGCCUUAGACAAAAUCUUCUUUCUUCCAGUCUAAACACAUGACCUUGUGUCCCAUCUAUAGUGCUGUUAGUGAG